GCCAGACUCCUACGGGAGGCAGCAGUGGGGAAUAUUGCACAAUGGGCGAAAGCCUGAUGCAGCAACGCCGCGUGAAGGAAGAAGGGUUUCGGCUCGUAAACUUCUAUCAACAGGGACGAAAGAAAUGACGGUACCUGAAUAAGAAGCCCCGGCUAACUACGUGCCAGCAGCCGCGGUAAUACGUAGGUGGCAAGCGUUGUCCGGAUUUACUGGGUGUAAAGGGCGUGCAGCCGGGAAGACAAGUCAGAUGUGAAAUCCCGCGGCUCAACCGCGGAACUGCAUUUGAAACUGUUUUUCUUGAGUAUCGGAGAGGUAAUCGGAAUUCCUAGUGUAGCGGUGAAAUGCGUAGAUAUUAGGAAGAACACCAGUGGCGAAGGCGGAUUACUGGACGACAACUGACGGUGAGGCGCGAAAGCGUGGGGAGCAAACAGGAUUAGAUACCCCGGUA
rnacentral:rRNA from 1 species